rnacentral:rRNA from 1 species
CCUACGGGUGGCAGCAGUCGAGAAUCAUUCACAAUGGGGGAAACCCUGAUGCAGCAACGCCGCGUGGAGGAUGAAGGUUUUCGGAUUGUAAACUUCUUUUGUUAGAGAAGAUAAUGACGGUACCUAACGAAUAAGCACCGGCUAACUCCGUGCCAGCAGCCGCGGUAAUACGGAGGGUGCAAGCGUUACCCGGAAUCACUGGGCGUAAAGAGCGCGUAGGCGGGAUAGCAAGUCAGAUGUGAAAUCCUAUGGCUUAACCAUAGAACUGCAUUUGAAACUGUUAUGCUAGAGUGUGGGAGAGGUAGGUGGAAUUCGUGGUGUAGGGGUGAAAUGCGUAGAGAUCAAGAGGAAUACUGAUUGCGAAGGCGACCUACUAGAACAUAACUGACGCUGAUGCGCGAAAGCGUGGGGAGCAAACAGGAUUAGAUACCCUUGUAGUC